UGAGGCUGGGCCCCACGCUCUUUGGCUACCCAUCUGGGAAGUGUGUGUGUGUGUGUGUGUGUGUGUGUGUGUGUGUGUGUGUUAGGGUGAACCCACGCACCUGCUUAAGCUAAGAUUUAGUAUUCACUCCUGUUCUUGUCACACACACUCACAUACACACACACACACACACACACACACACACACACACACACACACACACAGACACGCACUCACAGGCCAGAGUGACGUCAUGUGGGUGUGCACUGGGGUACCUAUGAAUGAGAGCACAGGCAUUGAAAAUACUAGCCCCUCAUCCAACAGCCUGAGUGUGAGGGUCCACUGGUUCUGGGGCCCUCCGGGCAUGACCCAAUGUAUGUCAUGUUUGUGGCCACAUAUCCUCUGUGGGUUUGUACUUAUCAACACGCCUGCAUCUCUGGGUGUAUAAUUCAAUUUGUGCAUCUGAUCAUCGGUGUUUGCAUCUCCAACAGACUAGAGGUAUGUUCUUCUGCUCUCCACUGAUUCUUUUGCUUCGGUACUAGGAAAAGGUCUGGGUCUGGCAUGCUCUCCCAGGAAUCUAGAGCCCCUGCCGUAGCUAAAAGGGAUGAAUCACCGCUGUGUUCUCAAUGAGCUCUUAAUCUAGGGGCACAAAAGGCUCCCUCCGCUUUGGCCUCCAGGAUCCUCGUCAUUUUCUCAGGACGUACUUCUUAUGUUUUGUUCAGAGGAGGGAACUGUAAAAAGGACCCCAGCCAAGACAUAAAGCGAAGGGACAUUUAGUUACAGUUCUGCUAACAGCUGGUCAUGUGGCUUUGUACAGGCCAGUCUCCUGUUGGUAGUGAUUCCUCAUGAGCUGUCCAGUUUUUCUCGUCCAGAAUGACAAUUGGCUGACUCUAUAAUUCUUCUCAUACACAUUAUUUCCUGUCAUCUCCUUGGCCACCUCACUGGGUGCAUGUUACUGCCCCAGCUGAGAAGGGUGUGGAGAGAAGUAUAAAGACUGGAUUCAGUCUGCCAGGCCGCUCGACUGGGAGGCCCCUCCUUACCCUUUCCUGCUGACAGGGCCAUCGAUCAAAGAGGAAGCUGUCGGAAAGCAAAGAGGCGAAGCUGUGAGGCUGCCAGGCCGGGGAGCAAUAAUGUGUGGGCCUCUGAGAUCACAGGCUGCAUGAGGUCAGGCAAAGCCUAGACUCAAGGAGCAACGGGGGAUUGAUAUGUCCCAGAGUGGGAUCCAAGUCAGCAUGCUCGCUGGCCCCUCUGUGGCAUUCCCAUGGAGCACAGAGACCUUUACCAGAUGCCCGAAACAUCUCCUGGCUUCCCCAGCCUGCAGAACUGUGCCCACAGCACGUCCUCAACGGUGACAAUUACAUGCCCAGGGUCAAGGAGCCCAGGACUCUAGCUGCCAGCCAUAAGGUAUGCCAUCCAUUGGACUCUAGCUCAUUCCAGGAUUUCCACGAUGCAGAUAUGGCCAGCAGCACCCAGGAACCCCAGACGUGUGCCCCUCGGAAACUGUGUGAGGUGGUCCCUAGUUGUUUUCAGCGACUGAGUUUUAUGAUACCUGGUGUGAAUCAACAUGUAACAGUGCCAGCUUCCAGUACCCUGCUGUCUCCUCCGGCCCACCCCCUCAGAAGAGAAUCUGGACACAGUGCAGACGGCAGGCCCCACUGGGAUCCAGUUCAAGACUGGACAUUGGCAGCUCCUACACCAGGUCGUCUUAAGAACAACUAAAAGCACCACAAAAAAUCCCUCCUUUUUCUCUUUGACUGGCCUCCUGGAGCUCGGCCUGGUGCCUGGCUGUGGGUCUCUGCAUCUGCUUCCAUCAGUUACUCUAUGGUUCUAUGGUGAUAAUUGAGUAUUCACCAAUCUGAUUACUGGGGUAGGCCAGUUCAGGCACCCUCUCCUCUAUUGCUAGUAGUCUAAGCUGGGGUCAUCCCUGUGGAUUCCUGGGAACUUCCCCAGCACCCGGUUCCUCCCUAUUCCCAUGAUGUCUCCCUCUAUCACGGCAUCUCUUUCAUUGCUCUCCCACUCCAUCCCUGUUCCAGCUUAAGAUCAUGAUGAGGAAAUCUAUAGAGACAACCAAACCAAACUGGUGGGAACUCAUGAAAUUUAGACCAACACCUGUGGAGCCUCCACGAGUCUGGACUAGGCCCUCUGCAUAAGUGAGAGAGUUGUGUAGCUUGAUCUGCUUAAGGGGCCCCCUGGCAGUGGAAUCAGGAUCCAUCCCUGGUGAAUGAGCAGGCUUUUUGGAGUCCACUGCCUAUGGUGGGAUACCUCACACAGCCUUGAGGCAGGGGGAGGGGCUUGGACCUGCCUCUGCUGACUCUCCAUGGGAGGCCUUGCCUUCUUGU